rnacentral:rRNA from 1 species
UACGUAGGGAGCAAGCGUUGUCCGGAAUCAUUGGGCGUAAAGCGCGCGUAGGCGGCCCUGUAAGUCCGUUGUGAAAGUCAAAGGCUCAACCUUUGAAAGCCGAUGGAUACUGCAGGGCUAGAGUCCGGAAGAGGCGAGUGGAAUUCCUGGUGUAGCGGUGGAAUGCGCAGAUAUCAGGAGGAACACCAGUGGCGAAGGCGGCCUGCUGGGCUGUUGCUGACGCUGAGGCGCGACAGCGUGGGGAGCAAACAGG